AUGUGGAUUGAACCAACCGGCAUUCCCAGCCGGCUCAACAAUCUGAAGAAGUUAUUCAUUGCAAACGUGCCAAUGAACUGGGAUACAUUCUGGAUUUUCACCCUAUUUGCUGCCGCACCCUACUUGCAGUCGCUCCAUGUUCAUUUUGACAACAACUCGGAGAAGCCGAGUGCUGCUGGAUCAGUUCUAGAUGUGCAAGUGGAGCAACCACAACACCAGCACCUGAGAGAACUCGUGGUCAUCGGCUUUGACGGAGCGGCGUGGCAGACUGGCUUUGUGAAGCGGAUCAUGAGGGCAUCGAGGUGGCUGGGGCGCGUCCAUCUGCUCGACGGGCACGUUGUGGAAGACAAGGAGCGGGAGCUCGUCGGCCUGGAGAUUGUCCCGCACCGGCGAGAGUGGCACGAGUGCGAGAGGUUGGAGGUGCUCGAAGAACUUACAGACGGGACUGGCUUCCCAAUUCACAAAAUAAUUUUGGAAUGA
rnacentral:rRNA from 1 species